rnacentral:rRNA from 1 species
GAUGAACGCUAGCGGCAGGCCUAACACAUGCAAGUCGAACGGUAACAUAAGAGCUUGCUCUUGAUGACGAGUGGCGCACGGGUGCGUAACGCGUAUGCAACCUACCCUGAUCAGGGGGAUAGCCCAGAGAAAUUUGGAUUAAUACCCCAUAAUAUUAUUGAUUGGCAUCAAUUAAUGAUUAAAACUCCGGUGGAUCAGGAUGGGCAUGCGUCCUAUUAGCUAGUUGGUGUGGUAACGGCACACCAAGGCAACGAUAGGUAGGGGUUCUGAGAGGAUGAUCCCCCACACUGGUACUGAGACACGGACCAG